rnacentral:rRNA from 1 species
CCUACGGGAGGCAGCAGGGACGAAGAUUGCCCAAUCCCGACUCGGGGAGGCAGUGACAAGAAAUAACAACUCUCAACUAUGUUGAGAAGUGUAAUGAGGAUAAUUUACAAACCUUACCGAAAGCAAUUGGAGGGCAAGUCUGGUGCCAGCAGCCGCGGUAA